CAGUCGCCACGGGAAUACGGAGGGGGCUAGCGUUGUUCGGAAUUACUGGGCGUAAAGCGCACGUAGGCGGUUUUGUAAGUCAGAGGUGAAAGCCCGGAGCUCAACUCCGGAACUGCCUUUGAGACUGCAUCACUUGAACGUCGGAGAGGUGAGUGGAAUUCCGAGUGUAGAGGUGAAAUUCGUAGAUAUUCGGAAGAACACCAGUGGCGAAGGCGGCUCACUGGACGACUGUUGACGCUGAGGUGCGAAAGCGUGGGGAGCAAACAGGAUUAGAUACCCCCGUAGUCCCUGUCUCUUAUAC
rnacentral:rRNA from 1 species